CCGGAUUUAUUGGGUUUAAAGGGAGCGUAGGCGGGAGGUCAAGUCAGCUGUGAAAUGUAUCUGCUUAACGGGUACACUGCAGUUGAAACUGGUUUUCUUGAGUGCGUAAGAGGCAGGCGGAAUUCGUUGUGUAGCGGUGAAAUGCUUAGAUAUGACGAGGAACUCCUAUUGCGAAGGCAGCUUGCUGGGUCGUUACUGACGCUGAUGCUCGAAGGUGCGGGGAUCGAACAGGAUUAGAUACCCUGGUAGUCCGCACAGUAAACUAUGGAUACUCUCUGCCGGCGAUAUACUGUCGGUGGCCAAGCGAAAGCGUUAAGUAUCCCACCUGGGGAGUACGUUCGCAAGAAUGAAACUCAAAGGAAUUGACGGGGGCCCGCACAAGCGGAGGAACAUGUGGUUUAAUUCGAUGAUACGCGAGGAACCUUACC
rnacentral:rRNA from 1 species